AGCGUUUUUCGAACUGCCAUCUAUGACGAGAGAAAGCGUUUGCUUGGACAUCGUAACUCGGUGUAAAAACGCGCAUAAUAGAAAAUGAUAAUUCGCCAAAAGUAAAAGUUUCAUCUCGAGGAAGAACUAUUCCAAAUUGAGUGAAUUAAAAUGUUGAAAUAUAUUUGAUAUAAAAAGUGUGUAAGAUCGAUAUUUAUAAACGAAAUUACUCGAUUAUAAACGCUUUUCGAACUGUCUUUAUAACUCGUCGCUGCUUUGACAUGUACAAAUCGAAAAAAAAUUCUUUCGGAUAAACAGUUUUUGAUAUCUAAGAAUCAAAUAAUUGGAAAUUAAACGACUUUCAAAUAUGGAUGUUUGUUAUAAAAAAAAAAGAAGAAAAAAGAACUCUAAUCUUACGUAAUACACGAUACAUAACCUAACGAAGGGAAUAUAUUUAAACAAAAAUAAAUCAAUCGUAUCGGGAUACGUGUUCUAGAAUAUAAAUAUUGAUAGAUUUCAGUUUCCCCUAUUACAAACAUGAUGUGUAAUGUAUAACCUAUAAUAAAAGAAAUGUAUCGCGUAAGAUAAAUUCUUAGAUAACCUUUCAGGAUACGUGUCUCGGAAUGGAAACGAUAUUAAACGAUAUUACGUGUCUCUGAAUUUUUUAUAAUAAACAAAAGGAUUUUAAAUAUUUCCAAGAAAA